UACCAGCACCCCGAGUGGUUGGGACGUUUAUUGGGCCUAAAGCAUCCGUAGCCGGUUCUACAAGUCUUCCGUUAAAUCCAGCUGCUUAACAGAUGGGCUGCGGAAGAUACUAUGGAGCUAGGAGGCGGGAGAGGCAAGCGGUACUCGAUGGGUAGGGGUAAAAUCCGUUGAUCCAUUGAAGACCACCAGUGGCGAAGGCGGCUUGCCAGAACGCGCUCGACGGUGAGGGAUGAAAGCUGGGGGAGCAAACCGG
rnacentral:rRNA from 1 species